UACGUAGGGUGCAAGCGUUGUCCGGAAUUAUUGGGCGUAAAGAGCUCGUAGGCGGUUUGUUGCGUCGGCUGUGAAAUCCCGAGGCUCAACCUCGGGUCUGCAGUCGAUACGAGCAAACUAGAGUGUUGCAGGGGAGACUGGAAUUCCUGGUGUAGCGGUGAAAUGCGCAGAUAUCUGAAGGAACAUCAGUGGCGAAAGCGACUUCCUGGACCAAUACUGACGCUCAUGUGCGAAAGCGUGGGUAGCAAACAGG
rnacentral:rRNA from 1 species